UGACGUCUGUGAAAGCAGAUUUUCCGGCUUUGCCGGAACAGAGUGACAGGUGCUGCAUGGCUGUCGUCAGCUCGUGUCGUGAGAUGUUGGGUUAAGUCCCGCAACGAGCGUAACCCUUGUCUUUAGUUGCCAUUAUUAAGUUAGGCACUCUAAAGAGACUGCCUCGGUUAACGGGGAGGAAGGUGGGGAUGACGUCAAGUCCUCAUGGCCUUUAUAUCCAGGGCUACACACGUGCUACAAUGGGCUGUACAAAGGGUUGCUAUCCCGCGAGGGGGCGCUAAUCCCAAAAAGCAGUUCUCAGUUCGGAUUGAAGUCUGCAACUCGACUUCAUGAAGGUGGAAUCGCUAGUAAUCGUGGAUCAGCAUGCCACGGUGAAUACGUUCCCGGGCCUUGUACACACCGCCCGUCACACCACGAAAGUCGACUGUACCAGAAGUUGCUGGGCUAACCUUUUCGGAGGAGGCAGGUACCUAAGGUACGGCCGGUAAUUGGGGUGAAGUCGUAACAAGGUAGCCGUAGGGGAACCUGCGGCUGGAUCACCUCCUUU
rnacentral:ncRNA from 1 species